UACGGAGGGGGCUAGCGUUGUUCGGAAUUACUGGGCGUAAAGCGCACGUAGGCGGCUUGGUAAGUUAGAGGUGAAAGCCCGGGGCUCAACCCCGGAACUGCCUUUAAGACUGCAUCGCUUGAAUCCAGGAGAGGUGAGUGGAAUUCCGAGUGUAGAGGUGAAAUUCGUAGAUAUUCGGAAGAACACCAGUGGCGAAGGCGGCUCACUGGCCUGGUAUUGACGCUGAGGUGCGAAAGCGUGGGGAGCAAACAGG
rnacentral:rRNA from 1 species